rnacentral:rRNA from 1 species
AUUGAACGCUGGCGGCAGGCCUAACACAUGCAAGUCGAGCGGAUGAAUGGAUCUUGCCCCUGGAUUCAGCGGCGGACGGGUGAGUAAUGCCUAUGAAUCUGCCUGAUAGUGGGGGAUAACGUCCUGAAACGGGCGCUAAUACCGCAUACGUCCUGUGGGAGAAAGUGGAGGAUCUUCGGACCUCAUGCUAUCAGAUGAGCCUAGUUCGGAUUAGCUAGUUGGUUGGGUAAAGGCCUACCAAGGCGACGAUCCGAAACUGGUCUGAGAGGAUGACCAGACACAUUGGAAGUGAGAAACGGUCGAGACUCCGACGGGAGGAAGCGGUGGGGAAUAUUGGACAAUGGGCGAAAGCCUGAUCCAGCAAUGCCGCGUGUGUGAAGAAGGUCUUCGGAUUGUAAAGCAAUUUAAGUUGGGAGGAAGGGCAGUAAGUUAAUACCUUGCUGUUUUGACGUUACCAACAGAAUAAGCACCGGCUAACUUCGUG